GGCUCGUUGGUCUAGGUGGUAUGAUUCUCGCUUUGGGUGCGAGAGGUCCCUGGUUCGAAUCCCGGACGAGCCC